UUGGAGGGCAAGUCUGGUGCCAGCAGCCGCGGUAAUUCCAGCUCCAAUAGCGUAUAUUAAAGUUGUUGCAGUAAAAAAGCUCGUAGUUGAAUUUCGGGGUUAGUAGGUUGGUCAUGCCUCUGGUAUGUACUGGUCUCACUGAUUCCUCCUUCCUGAUGAACCUUAACGCCAUUAAUUUGGUGUUUUGGGGAAUUUGGACUGUUACUUUGAAAAAAUUAGAGUGUUUAAAGCAAGCUAACGCUUGAAUACAUUAGCAUGGAAUAAUGAAAUAGGACGUUCGAUCCUAUUUUGUUGGUUUCUAGGAUUGACGUAAUGAUUAAUAGGGAUAGUUGGGGGCAUUAGUAUUCAAUUGUCAGAGGUGAAAUUCUUGGAUUUAUUGAAGACUAACUACUGCGAAAGCAUUUGCCAAGGAUGUUUUCAUUAAUCAAGAACGAAAGUUAGGGGAUCGAAGACGAUCAGAUACCGUCGUAGUCUUAACCAUAAACUAUGCCGACUAGGGAUCGGAUGAUGUUAAUUUUUUAAUGACUCAUUCGGCGCCUUACGGGAAAC
rnacentral:rRNA from 1 species